rnacentral:rRNA from 1 species
UACGUAGGGGGCAAGCGUUUGUCCGGAAUCAUUGGGCGUAAAGAGCGUGUAGGCGGCCCGGUAAGUCCGCUGUGAAAGUCCAGGGCUCAACCCUGGAAGGCCGGUGGAAACUGUCGGGCUAGAGUCCGGAAGAGGCGAGUGGAAUUCCCGGUGUAGCGGUGAAAUGCGCAGAUAUCGGGAGGAACACCAAUGGCGAAGGCAGCUCGCUGGGACGGUACUGA